GAAUUAGUGCUGGUAUGAUCGCACCUGUUUAAUUUUGCGCUGCAAAUACAGAAAUUCUAUCUCCUUCCUUCCCCCUCCCGAAAUUUGUUUCCAAGUGCGUCCUCUCGUUCUCGUUCAAAUAUCAAGUACAAUGCCACGGCGCCGUGACUCACAUUUGCGAAUAAAUCUGCGGACCAUAAUUAAAGUCGCGCGUAACGUCGAACGGCACAUCUGAAAAAAAAGAAAAUGGGUGCAACACGAGAACUUCCCACGAGGUAACCCAUCAUUGUACUACUUUCACCAAAGCACACUUAACUGCGGGGUUCUGAUGGGAUCCGGUGCAUUUGUGCUGGUAUGAUCGCACCUGUUAAAUUUUGCGCUGCAAAUACAUAAACUCAUUCCCCUUUCUUCCUCCUCCCGUCAUUUGUUCCCUUGUGCGUGCACUCUGCAUCCAUCCUUCUCGUUCUAAUAUCGAUCAAAAUGCCCUUGCUUCUUGACUCACAUUUGCGUAUAAACCAGUGGACCCUAGUUCCAGUCGCGCGUAACGUCGAACGACCCGUCUGAAAAAAAAAAUUAGUGCGACACGAGGAAUUCCCAGGAGGUCACCCAUCCGAGUACUACUCUCGCCCAAGCACACUUAACUGCGGAGUUCUGAUGGGAUCCGGUGCAUUAAUGCUGGUAUGAUCGCAUUUGUUUAAUUUUGCGCUGCAAAUACAGAAAUUCUAGCUCCUUCCUUCCCCCUCCCGUCAUUUGUUUCCAAGUGCGUCCUCUCGUUCUCGUUCAAAUAUCAAGUACAAUGCCACGGCGCCGUGACUCACAUUUGCGAAUAAAUCUGCGGACCAUAAUUAAAGUUGCGCGUAACGUCGAACGGCACAUCUGAAAAAAAAAAAGAAAAUGGGUGCAACACGAGAACUUCCCACGAGGUAACCCAUCAUUGUACUACUUUCACCAAAGCACACUUAACUGCGGGGUUCUGAUGGGAUCCGGUGCAUUUGUGCUGGUAUGAUCGCACCUGUUAAAUUUUGCGCUGCAAAUACAUAAACUCAUUCCCCUUUCUUCCUCCUCCCGUCAUUUGUUCCCUUGUGCGUGCACUCUGCAUCCAUCCUUCUCGUUCUAAUAUCGAUC
rnacentral:lncRNA from 1 species